CAGCCACCCCCCACCCUUACAUACGCAGCCGCUGGGCAGCGAGAGCCACCAGUGUGCGGGGCAGCAGGCAGGGGCGGUGCGGCACUGCGCGACGGAGGGCGCAGCUUCUUAUAGGUGACACAGAUGACACCCUAUGGCAAGGUGACCAGUCUUCUAAAACACAUUUACUGAAGUGACAGCCCACUCUUGUUCUCCCUUCUGUGGCCUGGGGCA